CUGUCACUGAAAUUGCUCCGUCAGCACGGGUCCUGGAGUGCUGGAGAUACAGCACCAGCCUGAGACAGACAUGAACAGUUGCUGGAGGAACUGCAAGUUCAUCUACAAAGAAAGGACUACUUCAGGCUCAGUGACAAAUGGGUCCCCAGCAAGUGCCAAGUUCUACGUUCAUUACGACCAACAGGGAAAUAAUACGCCGAGCCCCUGAGUAUCUAGUAUUUCCAGUGAAGAUGGGCCAGCAUGUACGCUAGCCGGUUUGCUUUGCAACAACCCUAUUUUUUCACUGAGACUAUGCCUAAACUCUACUUGUCCUAAAUAGCACAAGGAAGAAAACAAAGGAAAGAGAAAAAAUGAAUCCAGUACAGAGAGGUAGGAUGAAGACAGCACCCGAAGUUCCAUUCAAGGCCCAGCAGCAAACUCCUUUAAGAUUCAAGAAGACUGAGGAAAGUUCAAACAGCCUGAAACAUCAAUCUGUUUAGGCAAAGGAAAUAUCUGCCCUGAUAUCUGUGCCCAGCCGUCCUGAGAAGCAAGAGUAGCCCCAUUUCACCAGCUGUGAGGAAACACAGCUUAUCAAGAAAAAUGAUCCUGAAAGAUCACCUUAAAGGGAGGUGGGAAUAAAGCACUACAACUAACAAACCACAACCAACCUGCCUGAACAACCAACAAUCUCACCUAUUGGAGCUCUAGUAUUUAUAUGCCCUCUGAAAAUUUCCCAGAAUUCCAAAUGUCACACAAUCGCAGAAGCUAUCUGUAGCUGGCAAAACCACGCUUUUGUUAGAGCACAAGACAGAUCACAGUCAGCUGCUUCUGAUAGCCCAAAGCAGCCCCACAUCCCUACAUCUGGGAUUAAAAUGAUUCAAAAAUGUCCCUUCAAUCUUCCAUGCUUAUGAUAAAAAAAUCUGAAUAAGACUAGGAAUAGAAAGAAUGAAUAUAAAAGCUCUGUACAGCAAAGGAAGCGGCUGAGGAAGAGAUAACUUACAGAAUUGGCAUAGAUCUUUGCCAGCUACACAUCUGACAGAGAACUAAUAUCUAGAAUAUACAAAGAACUCAAAAUAAUAAACACUGGGUCAGUAAUAUAACUCAGUGACUAAAGGUACUUGCCACCAAGACAACCUGAGUUAGACCCAUGAAUGACACAAUAGAAGGGAACUGAUUCCUGACCUACAUACGCACACUAUGGAACAUGGCUACAUACAUACAUCCUCACACAUACAUGCAUAUACACAUAAAUAAACAAUUGCAAUUUAGAACAGAGUCCCUGUGAGAGAAACUACAAUGAUUUCUUUGCUAAUGGACACGCUGUCAAACUGUCUUAUAGAUAUUUAUUUCUUCCUAAAAGUUAGAAGCUUCUGUUUGGAGUUGGCAAUUGGUUAAUGCAAAGACUCAUGACUGGACAAAGUGCCAAGAAUAACUGACCAUUGAGCUCUCAGCCCUAAAUGGGACAUCUGUAUGUCCCCAUCUAAAGUUCAGGGAAUAUCACAGAAGAAUGGAAGGAAAGGGUUUAAGACCAAGGAGAGGGGAAGGCUUACUAUGAAUACUGUCUCCUGGACAUGCCAUGGCUGGGGUAGCCAUGAUCUCACAGCAGCAAAAGCUGCUACAUAAAACCCACACAAGGUUGGGCCCAUCAACAUCCUGUUAUGCGUAGGGGAAAAGCAUAUAAGGCCUCACACCUUUCUGAGAAGCUGGGCAGUUAAUGGUUACUGAGGGAUGGAGAGUCCUAUUCCUCAAGGGUCCAGCCACUGGUAAAUUGUUCUCACUCAAGGAAACUGUCCCCUAGUCUUACUCGUGCAAGCAACCCUGACUAAAUGCAGUGGAACACACACACACACACAAACACACACACACAUGCAUGCUCACAGAUACACAUGCACAUACCCAUACACUGUAAGUAAGAGGGAAACUUUCUUUAAAUUGUUGGGAAGAAGAAAGGGUCUAACAGGAGAAGGAACUAAUAAGAGACAAUAAUUGUGGGGAUGUGGGGAUGGUAUAGGGGUAUGUAAUUGUGAAAGAAUAGAUACAAUUUUUAAAAGAAAAAAUAGUUUAUCUUGCUGAGAAGUGCAGAAAAGUAGCAGGUAGUCUAAUAACCACUAUGUCCACUAUUCAGUCCAGAGGAGGAGACACACAGCCUUAGCAAAAGGUGGGCUGAUAGGCAGAAGAUGGCCUUCACAGCUUCAGAUGACCUUUAUCCGUAGAACAUGGCAGCCAUCCUAACUUGGCAAAGGACUUGUUUCUGUCCGAACACCUCAUGCAUCUGUGCGGCCUCCAAGAAUUUAGCAGUUAAUUGCUAUUGUCUGUUAGCAUCUUUGCUCCAAAAUCCAUAGCUUGAUAUCGUUGCAGAAACUAAAGAUUUCUAAAUAACAUUCUUAAGAUCUUGUAGCAAUUAUGGCUACAAAACUAAUAUAUAUUUUUGCUUUGAAAACAAAAUCUUAGGAAAAUGAAUACGUUUUAACAGUACUAAAACACACACACACACACACACACACACACACACACUUAGGGAAAAUAGUCUUGUAAGAAUACAAGGCCACUGGUGAAGAAUCAAUAGCUUGACAGUUCUUCUUGGUAGAAAGAUACAACACAGGAGAAUUGACAGAAUAGCUGUCAGCUUUAACUAUAUGGUAAGCUGGAACUACAUUUCCCAGAAUCCCUUCCUUGUCUUGUCUUGGAUAGUGCUGGCCUCAAGAGAAGUCUGCAUGAGCAAUGACAGGAAACGAAACUAGUGGCUCAUGUGGUCAGAAGAUCAUAGCUGCUCAAGGCAAGGGGUGGAGCAGAGAUAUGAGCAAGAUCUAGUUUGUCCUACUCAUUCUGAAAGUCAUUCCAAGCCAUCUGUCUGCCAUAAUUAUCUGUAGCAACACCACUUCACCAUUAAACCCAUCUACUUAGCCACAAA